AGUAGGAUUCGGUAGGUGAGGUUUUGCAGGGAUAUGGAUUGUUGCCGCAGAGUGGUGGAGACACCAUGGAGAAGGUUGGAGCAGGCUAUAUCGAACCUAAGGUGUAGCAUAAUACAGUUUCACUGCCCUGCAAAGCUAAAGCUCAAACGAAGAAGUCAGAA
rnacentral:sRNA from 1 species